GCCUCCUACGGGACGCAGCAGUGGGGAAUAUUGCACAAUGGGCGAAAGCCUGAUGCAGCAACGCCGCGUGAAGGAAGAAGGCUUUCGGGUUGUAAACUUCUUUUGACAGGGAAGAGCAGAAGACGGUACCUGUCGAAUAAGCCACGGCUAACUACGUGCCAGCAGCCGCGGUAAUACGUAGGUGGCAAGCGUUGUCCGGAUUUACUGGGUGUAAAGGGCGUGUAGCCGGGCUGACAAGUCAGAUGUGAAAUCCGGGGGCUCAACCCCCGAACUGCAUUUGAAACUGUUGGUCUUGAGUAUCGGAG
rnacentral:rRNA from 1 species